rnacentral:rRNA from 1 species
UUAAAGAUAGCGUAACAGCUCACUGGUCUAAUUUAAGUUAUCCUGCGGCGAAGAUGUACCGGGGCUCAAGCCAUGAGCCGAAGCUAGGGAUGCAAUUUAUUGCAUGGUAGCGGAGCGUUCUGUGAUAUAGAACGCUGCGUCUUUAGUAUCUUAGGAUAUUGUGGACGCAAUGUUCUGACUGUGAAGCCGGCGCGUAAGCGAUCCGGUGGAGUGAUCAGAAGUGAGAAUGUUGACAUGAGUAGCGACAAACAGGGUGAGAGACCCUGUCGCCGAAAGUCCAAGGGUUCCUGCUUAAAGCUAAUCUGAGCAGGGUAAGCCGACCCCUAAGGCGAGGCCGAAAGGCGUAGUCGAUGGGAACCAGUUUAAUAUUACUGGGCCAGGAGAUGGUGACGGAUCGAAAGCGUAGUGACUCCUUAUCGGAUUGAAGUUGCUGCCGGACGGUUCCUGGAAAUAGCCCUCCAUUAGAUCGUACCCUAAACCAACACAGGUGGACUGGUAGAGAAUACCAAGGCGCUUGAGAGAACUACAUUGAAGGAACUCGGCAAAAUGCCUCCGUAAGUUCGCGAGAAGGAGGCCCCAUCAGAAGGCAACUUUUGGUGGGGGGCACAGACCAGGGGGUGGCGACUGUUUACUAAAAACACAGGGCUCUGCGAAGUCGUAAGACGACGUAUAGGGUCUGACGCCUGCCCGGUGCUGGAAGGUUAAGAGGAGGUGUGCAAGCACUGAAUUGAAGCCCCAGUAAACGGCGGCCGUAACUAUAACGGUCCUAAGGUAGCGAAAUUCCUUGUCGGGUAAGUUCCGACCUGCACGAAUGGCGUAACGACUUCCCCGCUGUCUCCAAUGUAGACUCAGCGAAAUUGAAUUGCCUGUUAAGAUGCAGGCUUCCCGCGGUUAGACGGAAAGACCCCGUGCACCUUUACUACAGCUUCACACUGGCAUUAGGUCAGACGUGUGCAGGAUAGGUGGUAGGCUUUGAAACUCGGACGCUAGUUCGGGUGGAGCCUCCCUUGAGAUACCACCCCUGUCUGUCUUGAUGUCUAACCGCGGUCCGUUAUCCGGAUCCGGGACCCUGUGUGGCGGGUAGUUUGACUGGGGCGGUCGCCUCCUAAAGAGUAACGGAGGCGCGCGAUGGUUGGCUCAGACCGGUCGGAAAUCGGUCGUCGAGUGCAAUGGCAUAAGCCAGCCUGACUGUGAGUCUGACAAGACGAGCAGAGACGAAAGUCGGUCAUAGUGAUCCGGUGGUCCCGAGUGGAAGGGCCAUCGCUCAACGGAUAAAAGGUACGCCGGGGAUAACAGGCUGAUACUGCCCAAGAGUCCAUAUCGACGGCAGUGUUUGGCACCUCGAUGUCGGCUCAUCUCAUCCUGGGGCUGGAGCAGGUCCCAAGGGUAUGGCUGUUCGCCAUUUAAAGAGGUACGUGAGCUGGGUUUAGAACGUCGUGAGACAGUUCGGUCCCUAUCUGCCGUGGGUGUAGGAGACUUGAUGGGAGUUGCCCCUAGUACGAGAGGACCGGGGUGAACGAUCCACUGGUGGAUCUGUUGUUGCGCCAGCAGCAGUGCAGAGUAGCUAUGAUCGGACAGGAUAACCGCUGAAGGCAUCUAAGCGGGAAGCCCCCCCAGAAACAAGGUCUCCCUUGAGGGCCGUGGAAGACCACCACGUCGAUAGGUCGGAGAUGUAAGUGCUGUAAAGCAUUCAGUUGACCGAUACUAAUUGCCCGAUAGGCUUGAUUUG